GGUUCGAUGGCGUAGUUGGUUAUCGCAUCUGUCUAACACAUAGGGCCCUGGACGUAGCUGUUACACAGAAGGUCCCCAGUUCGAGCCUGGGUCGAAUCA